AUAUCUGCCCAGUGAAAUUUUAACGGCCGCAGUACCCUGACUGUGCAAAGGUAGCAUAAUCAUUUGGCUUUUAAUUGGAGUCUGGAAUCAAAGAAGUUACGUAGAUUAAUUGUCUUACAGUAAAAUAAUUUAAAAUUACUAAAGAAGUGAAAAUGCUUCUGAAUAUAAAUAAUAGACGAGAAGACCCUUAGAAUUUUUAAGAUUAUAUAUUAAUAGAUAUAAUAUUUUUUGUUGGGGCAACAUUAUUUCAUGUAAUAAAUAAUAAAUAUUAUUAUGUAACGAUUAAAUAAUAAAAGUAAAAUUACCUAAGGGAUAACAGCAUAAUUUAUUAAUAAGUUUGUGACCUCGAUGUUGGACUAGGUACUAUUAAAGCUAACCGUUUUAA
rnacentral:rRNA from 1 species